rnacentral:rRNA from 1 species
GACGGAAGGUGCAAGCGUUGCUCGGAAUCACUGGGCGUAAAGGGUGCGUAGGCGGCUUGGUAAGUUGGGUGUGAAAGCCCCGGGCUCAGCCCGGGAAGGGCACUCGAAACUGCCGAGCUGGAGUGCCGGAGGGGAGAGUGGAAUUCCUGGUGUAGCGGUGAAAUGCGUAGAUAUCAGGAGGAACACCGGUGGCGAAGGCGGGUCUCUGGGCCGAUACUGACGCUGAGGAGCGAAAGCGUGGGGAGCGAACAGG